rnacentral:rRNA from 1 species
AACGAACGCUGGCGGCAGGCCUAACACAUGCAAGUCGAGCGCCCCGCAAGGGGAGCGGCGGACGGGUGAGUAACGCGUGGGAAUUUUCCUCAAGGUACGGAACAACCCAGGGAAACUUGGGCUAAUACCGUAUGAUGCAGAGAUGCCAAAGAUUUAUCGCCUUGGGAUAAGCCCGCGUCAGAUUAGGUAGUUGGUGGGGUAACGGCCUACCAAGCCUGCGAUCUGUAGCUGGUCUGAGAGGAUGAUCAGCCACACUGGGACUGAGACACGGCCCAGACUCCUACGGGAGGCAGCAGUGGGGAAUCUUGCGCAAUGGGCGAAAGCCUGACGCAGCCAUGCCGCGUGAGUGAUGAAGGUCUUAGGAUUGUAAAGCUCUUUCGCCCGUGACGAUGAUGACGGUAACGGGAGAAGAAGCCCCGGCUAACUUCGUGCCAGCAGCCGCGGUAAUACGAAGGGGGCUAGCGUUGUUCGGAAUUACUGGGCGUAAAGCGCGCGUA